rnacentral:lncRNA from 1 species
GUCAGACAACUGCAAUUAAAAUAGACAAAUAACAGAUGGAACAUAUCAUCAUUGUUCUAGUAGAUGAUCUCAGACAAUAGCAUCUGUUCAAUACAUCAUAGAUGAAUACUUCAUCCUAAAGCACCACUACAUAGAUGAAUACCUAGAUCCUAUUAUUCCCCCUAGUUGCCCACAUUUGCUGAGCCCAUGUAUCCCUCUUUGCAGCCCAUGACCCAUUGUCAACCAUAACAUCAUUGGGUACUGCUUCAUUACUAGGAUUUGGUUGCCAGGUGCCUUCUGGAGGAAUGUGGUCAUCAUGUCCAUGCCGGAUGAUCC